rnacentral:rRNA from 1 species
AAGCGCUUGCUACCAGACUUGGGUUGGGCGGUUCAUCCGGCGCCACGCGCCGGUGCACUCCGCCUGCCCAGGCCAGCAUCAGCUUUCCGUCGGGGGCAAAGACGUCGGGAAUGUGGCUCCCCCUCGGGGGAGUGUUAUAGCCUGGCGUGUCAUACCCGGCGGGGGGCUGAGGUACGCGCUCCGCAAGGAUGCUGGCGUAAUGGUAGUUAGCGA